GAAAAAAUUCCAUCCAGCCCCGGGGAGGAGGGAGCGGGGCGGGGAGGCCGGGCCGGGGAGCGUGACGCAGGGAGGAGGGAAGGGACAAAAGGGGCCGGGAGGCGGUAGGGUGAGCCGGCAGCGCUCCCGCUCCUCCCUCCCUCCUCCCUCGGCCGGGGCCAGUUCUCUACUCUCCGCUUUCUUUCGUACCCUCCACCUCUCCUCCCUUUCCUUCACUCUGCCGGCCUCCUCCUGGCCCUGUGCUCCCCCCACCCCACCCCCCGCCCCCGUGUCUCCGUCUCCGCGUCUCUCUUUCUCCUUACAUCACGCCCACCCCCUCCACCCCAAUCAGGGUCUUCUCCUCUCCUCGCUCUGUCUCCCCCUUUCUGCUCUCCCAGCCUCCUUCCCCUCCCUCCGCUUCGGUCCCUCCACCCGCCCACCCACUGGGGGACAGAAAGGUGAAUCAGACCCAGAUCUGCCCUUGCAGACCGAGCUCACAGUCUGAUGGAGGAGACAGACCCAGACGCAGACAGUUCCAAUCCUGGGCGAUCGGGCCAUACAGCAUGACACACAGAAGCUUACUCCCUGACCAGAGAUUGAACCCGAGCCCCCCAGCACGGAAGCUCAGAGUUCUAACCACUGGACCACCAGUAAAUUCCCUUGGAAGACACAGUGAGAGACUGGCUGUCUGCAAGCCAGGAAACACCGCCUCACCAGGGAACUGAAUCAACCAGCCCCUUGCUCUUGGACUUUUCAGCCUCCAGGACUGUGAGAAAUAAAUUCCUUUUGGUUUAAGCCUCCCAGAUUUGGUAUUUCAUUAUGAUAGCCUGAACCGACUAAGACACUGGUCCUUAUUUCGUUCUACAGCAGGUUUUGGUCACUUUUAUUGUAUAUUAAUGGGCAUCAGAGAAGGACUUGCUAAAAAACACGAACAUAUGUCAGCAAGUUUCCCAGAAGUCCGUGGAAGGGUUGUGAGCUGCGAAAUUGAAGGCAAGUCUUGUGGGGAGGGGUGGGGCAGUUGGUACUCAUAGGUAUGGGUGCGCGGGCCUGGCGGUGAGGGGCAAGGUUAUGUUAGGCACAUGCGAGAUCAUUCCAGCUCCAGUUGACCUGACCGGGAAAACAGAGUGUUGACUCACUUAACUUGAAGAUCUCUGAAGUAUACGGGCUCGGGCUUCCUGAGGGCUCAGCGGGUAAAGAUACCACCUGCCAUGCAGGAGACACAGAAGACCCAGGUUUGAUCCCUGGGUCAGGAAGAUCCUCUGGAGUAGGAAGUGGC
ensembl:lncRNA